rnacentral:lncRNA from 1 species
AUGCAUAAUAAAACAAGAGCCUUUAUAUUAAAACUGGUAACCUGCCAUGGCUUCUGGGCAUUUUGCUUUUUAAUUCUCUCAGUCUUAAAUCUGAUGUUUGAUUCCUUUUGCAGCCAAAUCUCCCAGCUAGAUUACCAGGGAGUUCAGGAUUACACUUUCAAUGCCAAAUGCACAUGUAUUGGAAAAGAAAUAGAUAAAUGGAUGACUAGGAAACACAGCAGAUUCAGCCUGCCUGUGGAGAAUAGAAAGAAAUGGUGAAUUGAAAACUUUCAGAGCCAGGGUUUGACAUCAGUAGAACAGAACAGAAGCAAAGAUCAGGGAACACUAGGAUUCUCUCAGCUCAAUGUGGACCAAAGAUCUUGCAGACAAUGGCCUGAAGGUAAGAGCACUUCCACAGCAUACCAAGAAUCUCUUCUUUAAAAGUUCAGUUAUUGAGGUGUUAAUAACCUGGGCUAUGCCAACUGUGUAAUUACUGAUCCAGCAGGUGUAGACCCAGCUAAAAAGGGCAUGAUUAGACCAGGCCUCCUGGGUCAAGUGGUGGUUGUGCUGAGAGAUUGAAGAGCACUCAGGGAUACUGGCCCACUUGAAUUAACACUGGCACUGCUGUUUUGUUUGCAACAUUGUUAAAUCACAGCAAAUCUGACAUUUGUUGAGUUUUCCUGGUUUUUAUUGUUUUGGAUUAUAGUGGAUUAAUGAUUACAGACUCUUUACAAACUUUAUAAAAUGAUCCUAUUACAGCUGAUAAAGGUAAGCCUGGUUUCCAAUAUGUGCACUCAAGCUGCAGCUCCCUUUUUCAUUCACCUUUCAUUGCUAAAAUCUAGCUUCUCCACUGAUUCCCAAAUGCAUGUCCAAACUACUCAUCUGAUACCUUGCUUGUGGCUGGGUGAGAGGCAGAAGACCUGUGACUGCUUCUGAAUUACAUGUAAGCAGAUUGUGUGGCUGAUACAUACACAGUGAUCAGCUUGCUGGUAUGUCAAGCAUAAUAGAUAAUUGCUGAGCUUACACAGCAAUAUUUUCCUCACUGGGAAGACUCAUGUCAGUCUUUGUCUCCUACUCAGCUGUCAGUUCUCAUGGAAACUUGUUGGAACUUGAU